rnacentral:rRNA from 1 species
CCUACGGGGGGCUGCAGUGGGGAAUAUUGGACAAUGGGGGCAACCCUGAUCCAGCCAUGCCGCGUGUGUGAAGAAGGCCCUCGGGUUGUAAAGCACUUUCAGUGAGGAAGAACGCCUGGUGGUUAAUACCCAUCAGGAAAGACAUCACUCACAGAAGAAGCACCGGCUAACUCCGUGCCAGCAGCCGCGGUAAUACGGAGGGUGCGAGCGUUAAUCGGAAUUACUGGGCGUAAAGCGCGCGUAGGUGGCUUGAUAAGCCGGUUGUGAAAGCCCCGGGCUCAACCUGGGAACGGCAUCCGGAACUGUCAAGCUAGAGUGCAGGAGAGGAAGGUAGAAUUCCCGGUGUAGCGAUGAAAUGCGUAGAGAUCGGGAGGAAUACCAGUGGCGAAGGCGGCCUUCUGGACUGACACUGACACUGAGGUGCGAAAGCGUGGGUAGCAAACAGGAUUAGAUACCCUAGUAGUC